UUCGGAGGAUCCAAGCGUUAUCCGGAAUUACUGGGCGUAAAGCGCACGCAGGCGGUUCGCCAAGUUUGGAGUGACAGUUGUCGGCUCAACCGACAAAGGACUUCAAAAACUGGUGAACUUGAGGACGAGAGAGGAACAUGGAACUCCAGGUGUAGUAGUGAAAUGCGUAGAUAUCUGGAAGAACACCAAUGGCGAAGGCAAUGUUCUGGCUCGUUUCUGACGCUCAGGUGCGAAAGCCAGGGGAGCGAACGGG
rnacentral:rRNA from 1 species